rnacentral:rRNA from 1 species
AGAGUGAACGCUGGCGGUAGGCCUAACACAUGCAAGUCGAACGGCAGCACAGUAGGAGCUUGCUCUUACGGGUGGCGAGUGGCGGACGGGUGAGGAAUACAUCGGAAUCUACCUUUUGGUGGGGGAUAACGUAGGGAAACUUACGCUAAUACCGCAUACGCCCUUCGGGGGAAAGCCGGGGACCAGCAAUGGCCUGGUGCUGAUAGAUGAGCCGAUGUCGGAUUAGCUAGUUGGUGAGGUAAUGGCUCACCAAGGCGACGAUCCGUAGCUGGUCUGAGAGGAUGAUCAGCCACACUGGAACUGAAGACACGGCCCAGACUCCGUACGGGAGCAG